AGGACACAUUUGAACAUCGACAUUUCGAACGCACAUUGCGGUCCGUGGAGAAAUAUCCAGGACCACUCCUGUCUGAGGGCCGGCUGCAUAAAAGAAUACGACGACGCC
rnacentral:rRNA from 1 species